rnacentral:lncRNA from 1 species
CUAUUUCUUCUUUUUUGAAAGCGUGAGUUAUGAGGUUCAUCAUUUUGGAAUCUUCUUUGGAGUCCAUAUACAUUUACAUUAUGUAUAUUUUCUUCUCUUGGAUCAGAUCUUGGCACUUAGCAUAGUUUUCAAGCAAAGGAUACAGUUGAUGCUGGGAAGUCAACAAAAUAAAUAAAAAAACACUAAGUUAUUUUGGGAAUUGGUGGAAUGAGAAAAUAUCAAAUUAAACUUUUUUUGGAUUUUUCUCAAAUGUAGAUAUAAAUAAUUGAAAUAAACAACAUAAAAC